UUAAAUUGAAGAGUUUGAUCAUGGCUCAGAUUGAACGUUGGCGGCAGGCCUAACACAUGCAAGUCGAACGGUAACAGGAAGCAGCUUGCUGCUU
rnacentral:rRNA from 1 species